rnacentral:rRNA from 1 species
AUUGAACGCUGGCGGCAUGCCUUACACAUGCAAGUCGAACGGUAACGGGCCUUCGGGUGCCGACGAGUGGCGAACGGGUGAGUAAUACAUCGGAACGUGCCCGAUCGUGGGGGAUAACGAGGCGAAAGCUUUGCUAAUACCGCAUACGAUCUACGGAUGAAAGCAGGGGACCGCAAGGCCUUGCGCGGACGGAGCGGCCGAUGGCAGAUUAGGUAGUUGGUGGGAUAAAAGCUUACCAAGCCGACGAUCUGUAGCUGGUCUGAGAGGAUGAUCAGCCACACUGGGACUGAGACACGGCCCAGACUCCUACGGGAGGCAGCAGUGGGGAAUUUUGGACAAUGGGCGUAAGCCUGAUCCAGCCAUGCCGCGUGCAGGAUGAAGGCCUUCGGGUUGUAAACUGCUUUUGUACGGAACGAAAAGCCUUCUUCUAAUACAGGAGGGUCAUGACGGUACCGUAAGAAUAAGCACCGGCUAACUACGUGCCAGCCGCCGCGGUAA